CCCGAAAAGUCGUCUCAGUUCGGAUUGGAGUCUGCAACUCGACUCCAUGAAGCUGGAUUCGCUAGUAAUCGCGCAUCAGCCAUGGCGCGGUGAAUACGUUCCCGGGCCUUGUACACACCGCCCGUCAAGCCAUGGAAGCCGGGGGUGCCUGAAGUGCGUGACCGCAAGGAGCGCCCUAAGGUAAAACCGGUGACUGGGGCUAAGUCGUAACAAGGUACC
rnacentral:rRNA from 1 species